AUUGAACGCUGGCGGCAGGCCUAACACAUGCAAGUCGAGCGGAGCGGCGGACGGGGGAGUAAUGCCUAGGAAUCUGGCUGGUAGUGGGGGAUAACGUCCGGGAACGGGCGCUAAUACCGCAUACCAUCCGAUGAGCCUAGGGCGGAUUAGCUAGUUGGUGGGGUAAAGGGCUACCAAGGCGACGAGCCGUAACUGGUCUGAGAGGGUGACCAGUCACACUGGAACUGAGACACGGUCCAGACUCCUACGGGAGGCAGCAGUGGGGAAUAUUGGACAAUGGGCGAAAGCCUGAUCCAGCCAUGCCGCGUGUGUGAAGAAGGUCUUCGGAUUGUAAAGCACUUUAAGUUGGGAGGCGUUACCAACAGAAUAAGCACCGGCUAACUUCGUGCCAGCAGCCGCGGUAAUAC
rnacentral:rRNA from 1 species